UUCUGCCUCGGCUGAACUGUCUUCGUCGUCUUCUCCGUCUCGGUCCUGCGAUUCCUAGUCUAGCUUUAAUGAAGUUUCUGGACUGGUAUUUGAAGAUUGGGGCUGUGUCAGCCUUGAUUGGAGCUUCUAUGGAGUUGUUCAUGAUCAAAACUGGCUUCUAUGACAAAGUAACUGUUUUGGAGUCAGAGAAGCGUGCGUGGGAGAAUUCUCCUGAAGCUAAUGCAGUCAGAGAAGCUCUCAAUCCUUGGAAACAUCUUGAUGCUGAAAGAAGGAAAAAAUCCUGACUUAAAUUUUCAUGAAGGUGUAGCUAGGAGAGUAUGCAAGAGAAGAAGGAAAACAAAAACAAAAGGAGAGCAUAUGUGAAGUAAAGCAAAGGAGAAAAGCAUUCUGACGCUGCAUCUGAUUGCCAUGUCAUGGAGCUUUGAGAAUCCAGCUCAUCCAUGUUAUCUUCAUGACAACUAAAUUCACCGGCUUCCUGAUCAUCUUCAUGACCAUCACCAACCUCAGAUAGACCAUAUAUACCGUCUGUGUCAUAAUUACAAGAUUCAGCGUCAUCCUCAUUAUGACCAGCAAUAGUGCCCGUGCUGGGAUAGAGACUAAAUAAGCCAGAGUCUGCUUCUGAAUCUGCGCUAUCCUCCAUGAGUAACCAAGAUGAUACAUCCACGCCAUUCAUUUCUUCUCCCCAGACAAGAAGAGCGAUCAAAGGUUUCACUUGUUUUCGCUUGGGUCUUCCAAGGCCAAAGCCAGGUUGAAGCUGACUUAGUAUUUAAUAUUUGAUUAUAUGUUUCUCAAAUUUUUACCCAACUUUUUUUUUUUGGCCAAAUCCAUGAUGUUGGUAGAUCUGCUCCAAAUCAUGACAGUCAUUUCUUGUUAGGUGGACGCUUAUUGCUUGCCCUUCCUAACUUGAUGGUGGGUUUCAGGUCAUAACUCCACUCCAUUUCAGUUUUUGAACAUCGUCCUCUUUUUGAAAGUGCUUAAUAUACCGGUCGGUCGCUGGUCGGCCAGGAAAGUGAGGAGUAUUUGAUUGUGGACUAGAAUUUGCUUAAUCAUAUAAAUUGGGUGUCCAUAUAUGGCAAAGUCUAAUUGAUGGCA